rnacentral:rRNA from 1 species
GUCGAGUUGUUUGGGAAUGCUGCUCAAAAUGGGAGGUAAACCCCUUCUAAAGCUAAAUAUUGGCCAGAGACCGAUAGCGCACAAGUAGAGUGAUCGAAAGAUGAAAAGCACUUUGAAAAGAGAGUUAAACAGCACGUGAAAUUGUUGAAAGGGAAGCGCUUGCGACCAGACUUGCGCCCGUCGGAUCAACCGUCCCUCGUGGGCGGCGCACUCCGGCGGGCUCAGGCCAGCAUCAGUUUUCCUGGGGGGAGAAAGGCGGCGGGAAUGUAGCUCUUCGGAGUGUUAUAGCCCGCCGUGUAAUGCCCCCGGGGGGACUGAGGACCGCGCGAAAGCAAGGAUGCUGGCGUAAUGGUCGUCAGCNACCCGUCUUGAAACACG